rnacentral:lncRNA from 1 species
AGGAAUUAUAAAUUUGUUAGAAACAUUUGUGCCUACCUCUUUACUAUUUUUGAAUUUUCCGUUGGUGUAGGAAAUAUACUAAUUCUAAAAAUACAAAUCCGGUGACUGUAGUUUUUCAUAAAUUUAUAAGUUCAUUUGGUGUUUUAUUUUAUUGACUUAUUAAUAUGAUAUAAUCACAUGUAGUUUGUUUUGUGCCAUCAAUUUUAUGCUUAUCUUGC